rnacentral:rRNA from 1 species
UACGUAGGGUGCGAGCGUUGUCCGGAAUUAUUGGGCGUAAAGGGCUCGUAGGCGGUUUGUCGCGUCGGGAGUGAAAACACACAGCUUAACUGUGUGCUUGCUUCCGAUACGGGCAGACUAGAGGUAUGCAGGGGAGAACGGAAUUCCUGGUGUAGCGGUGAAAUGCGCAGAUAUCGGGAGGAACACCAGUGGCGAAGGCGACUACCUGGCCUGUUCUUGACGCUGAGGCGCGAAAGCUAGGGGAGCAAACGGGG